rnacentral:rRNA from 1 species
AACGUAGGAGACAAACGUUAUCCGGAGUUACUGGGCGUAAAGGGCGUGUAGGUGGUUUUAUAAGUCUGGCGUGAAAUUUCUCGGCUUAACCGAGGCAGGUCGUCGGAUACUAUGAGACUAGAGGACGGUAGAGGCGUGUGGAAUUCCGGGUGUAGUGGUGAAAUGCGUAGAGAUCCGGAGGAACACCAGUGGCGAAGGCGACACGCUGGGCCGUACCUGACACUGAUGCGCGACAGCAUGGGGAGCAAACGAGG